rnacentral:tRNA from 1 species
GGAAAUGUUGCUAUUGGUAGAGCGAGAUAUUUGCUAAAUAUCGUGUUUUAACACCUGGAUGUUCGAUCCAUCCCAUUUCCG